rnacentral:rRNA from 1 species
UACGAAGGGGGCUAGCGUUGUCCGGAAUCAUUGGGCGUAAAGCGCGCGUAGGCGGCCCGGUAAGUCCGCUCUGAAAGUCCAGGGCUCAACCCUGGAAAGCGGGUGGAUACUGCCGGGCUAGAAUCCGGAAGAGGCGAGUGGAAUUCCUGGUGUAGCGGUGGAAUGCGCAGAUAUCAGGAGGAACACCGGUGGCGAAGGCGGCUUGCUGGGCCUUACCUGACGCUGAGGAGCGAAAGCGUGGGGAGCGAACAGG